AUAACGGCCUCUUUCGAGGCCAUUAUUUUUUCCAAUACCACUACAU
rfam:Vibrio metschnikovii CIP 69.14 VIB.Contig146, whole genome shotgun sequence.